UCUACAAAGACCAUCUGGGUUUUCUAAGACUCCUUCCACUGGCUAAUCUAGGCAGGUCAAAGAGUGGUCUCCUCAGGGAAGAGACUGAAGAAAGCUGUGCAAAGACAGCAGCAACAUUUAUUCACUCAACAAACAUUCCUUGGGUGCCUGCUAUGUGCCAGGACCGUGCUGGGUGCUGCAGGUGACACGGGAGUGAGUCAGAUGCCACUGCCCACAGAGCUUCUCCCCUGCCUGGAGACAGAAAUCCCAGGCAGCACCCACUAAGGGAGGGCAGGUGGGCAUCUCCCUGCAGGGCUGUGUUGACAUUUAGAUGGAGUCUGAGGCCAGAGCCGGGUCUAGGUUUUCUCUGUGAAACAGGGUAAUAAUAAUGCCACCUCACAAAGCGUAUGAGGGCUGGAAGGACCGAUACAUCUAAAACAUGUAGGGUGGUGCCUGGCACAGGCUGGGACUCCAUGAAGAGCAGAGUUAAAUCCCACCUGCUCAGUCUUGCCCAUGGCCACAUGUCCCAGAUGUCCCUGCAGGUGGUGACCUGUGUGCCCCUUCUGCACCCAGCACUGCAGGUCCUGCGGAGACUGAGGGGCCAAACAUUUACUGGACUCUUGGAUGCGGCCGGCUGGGCCCUGAUGCAGCAGGGUGGCCCUUUCUCCCCCAGUGACCUCCCUGAGGAAGGAGGGAACCGCUCGGGCACUGCUUGCUCCCGCCUCCGGCAUGGCUUGGCCAGAGGAAGUUAGAGAAACCCGCUACCCGCGAGUUAGAACUCAUCCAGGGGAAACAACCCAAGUCCUCUGUGAGGUUCAAACAGCGCUGGAGCUCCAGGCGAAUGAUCGGGGCCGCGCCCCUACCUCCGGGGGGAUGCUGUCCUCCGAGUCGGAGCUGUCCUCGUAGACGCUGCCGCCACCGCCCUCCAGGUUCAUCUGCAGCAGCUGGUCGAUGGUGGCGUCCACGGCGCCGCUGUUGGCGCGCAGCACGCACUCGAUGAUGUCGUAAUCCAUGUUGGGGAACAUGGUCUUAAAGUCGUCCAUGGCCUGGUUGAACUCGAGGCGGCGCACCUGGCGGGCGGGCCGGCUGUUGUUGAGCUCCUGCGAGGCGGGCGCGCCGCCCCCGGCCCCGGCCCCGCGCGCCCCGGCGGAGCCACCGCCCCCGCCGCCGCUGCUGCUCCGGCGGAACAGGCUGGUCAUUUUGCCGAGCCGCUGGGGGAAAAUGUUGGCGGCCGGCGCCGAGCCCCUGCCCCCGGGUCCCUGCGCCGUGGCCGCUCGCUCGGCGGGCUCGGGAGGCUCCUUCCCGUGGCUCCCGCUCCCCUGGGCGGCCGGGGCGGCGCGGGGCGCGCGGGGUCCCCGGGUCAGGAGGCUAGGGCGCGGGGCCACCGGCGGCCCUCGGGGAGCGGCCCUCGCGGGGCGGCGGCAUCCGGGCUGGGCAGCUGGUCAUCCACACCCCCGGGGCAUCCUGGAGCCGGCUCCACCGACGGUCCCACCUGAAACCGAGGGAGGAGGAGUCAGGAGCUGAAUGGCAAGGGAACGGGGGUGCGCCUGCCUCGCCCGCGGGAGAACCACUUCUCUGUGCUUUCUCUCCAGCUGCAAUAAUUAAAUAGCCACCGUUCUGUGCUGACGCAGGAUUGCUACCUGUUAGCCACGGCUAACUCUGGGCCAGGCACCAUGGGUUCUGCGUGGGUCGACGCAGGACACCACUGUGAGGUAGGCCCUAGCAUCCCCUGUUCGCAGGUAGGAAAACUGAGGCAUAGAUGCUGAGGAAGUGGAGUUAGGAUUUGAACCCAGGACUGUGGCUGCUGGUUUCCAUCACUACUCCUACUGCCAAGGAGCCCUGAGGACCUGAGGGCAGGAGGGGCCUGUACAGGUCCCAUCCUGACCCUCCGGUCUCCGACCCACCCAGUCUCUGCUUCUCACAUCAGGGUCCCAACUUGAUCCCAACACCAUGGCCUCCAGUUUGUGGAGAGUGCCAUUAUAUCUGCGACAGAAAACUGUCCUGCCCACUCACCACCAAGCAUGUAAAUCACUGCGAAGGUCACAGUUUUGUUAGUGCAGUCAACUGAGAGGUGAGUACAUCUAAAAACAUCAAAUUCUGAAUUUCUCAUGCUUACCCCAAGAUUCACAGUAAUUUUGUUAGUUGUAGAAAAGUGGCAGCUUUAUUUCAAGGGACCAUUCCAUCAAAGGGUAUUUCCUAAGUUUGAUGAAACAGGUGCAAACCUGUUUUCCCGUUUCUAGGACUUGGGAUCAUAAUCGUUAACAGCUGACACUGAAACGUGCAUGUGAGCAAAUCGACAUGAUGAUCUUCCUUGCCAUGAUUCCAACAGUCAAACAGCUGAUAGUAUAGGAAAGACAAGAGCAGAGGAGCGUGGAAAGUGCAACAGAUAGGCUCUCACUCCCUCUGGGGUCAGAAGAGCCAGCAUUACUACGGAUUCCCUCUCUCCCCUUAGGACAGUCUCCGCACAGGUCAAAUGAGGCUGCGUAUUGUUCCCCAGUGCCACCAUGCUGACAUUCUAACCUACUAGAAAGAUCUGCGUCCUGAGAGGCCCGUGGAAAUUGUCCAGGGCUCCUGUUCUGGGGCCUGUCGGGUGGGCGUCUGCCCAGUCCAGAGAAGUGAGCUGUAUUCAAGAAUGGAAAACUAGAAGCACUUUGGCCCCAUGCAACGUCUGGACACAGAUGUUACAGAACUAUAAUCCCUCCCAGCUUCCAGAACACACCUGUGAACACUCUGGUGUAUCUACAUCUAGAUACUUCCUUUAUGCAUCUACUACCAUAGGUAUGAAUUUUUUUUCCUGAAAUGUGAUCAAACCAUAAAUUCUCUGCAACUUGUUUUUUCCACUUAGUAAUGUAUUGUAGUCACCUUCUCAUGUCAGAACAUAGAGAUCUACUGCAU